GCGAUACAGGGUGACAGCCCCGUACACAAAAAUGCACAUGCUGUGAGCUCGAUGAGUAGGGCGGGACACGUGGUAUCCUGUCUGAAUAUGGGGGGACCAUCCUCCAAGGCUAAAUACUCCUGACUGACCGAUAGUGAACCAGUACCGUGAGGGAAAGGCGAAAAGAACCCCGGCGAGGGGAGUGAAAAAGAACCUGAAACCGUGUACGUACAAGCAGUGGGAGCACGCUUAGGCGUGUGACUGCGUACCUUUUGUAUAAUGGGUCAGCGACUUAUAUUCUGUAGCAAGGUUAACCGAAUAGGGGAGCCGAAGGGAAACCGAGUCUUAACUGGGCGUUAAGUUGCAGGGUAUAGACCCGAAACCCGGUGAUCUAGCCAUGGGCAGGUUGAAGGUUGGGUAACACUAACUGGAGGACCGAACCGACUAAUGUUGAAAAAUUAGCGGAUGACUUGUGGCUGGGGGUGAAAGGCCAAUCAAACCGGGAGAUAGCUGGUUCUCCCCGAAAGCUAUUUAGGUAGCGCCUCGUGAAUUCAUCUCCGGGGGUAGAGCACUGUUUCGGCAAGGGGGUCAUCCCGACUUACCAACCCGAUGCAAACUGCGAAUACCGGAGAAUGUUAUCACGGGAGACACACGGCGGGUGCUAACGUCCGUCGUGAAGAGGGAAACAACCCAGACCGCCAGCUAAGGUCCCAAAGUCAUGGUUAAGUGGGAAACGAUGUGGGAAGGCCCAGACAGCCAGGAUGUUGGCUUAGAAGCAGCCAUCAUUUAAAGAAAGCGUAAUAGCUCACUGGUCGAGUCGGCCUGCGCGGAAGAUGUAACGGGGCUAAACCAUGCAC
rnacentral:rRNA from 1 species